rnacentral:rRNA from 1 species
CAGCCGCCACGGUAAAACGAAGGGGGCUAGCGUUGUUCGGAAUUACUGGGCGUAAAGGGCGCGUAGGCGGCCAUUCAAGUUAGAUGUGAAAGCCCAAGGCUCAACCUUGGAACUGCCUUUGAUACUGGGGAUCUCGAGUUCGGGAGAGGUGAGUGGAACUGCGAGUGUAGAGGUGAAAUUCGUAGAUAUUCGGAAGAACACCAGUGGCGAAGGCGGCCCGCUGGACAUGUAUUGACGCUGAGGUGCGAAAGCGUGGGGAGCAAACAGGAUUAGAUACCCCGGUAGUCCCUGUCUCUUAUAC